rnacentral:rRNA from 1 species
UGGGGAAUAUUGGGCAAUGGGCGAAAGCCUGACCCAGCGACGCCGCGUGGGUGAUGAAGGCCUUCGGGUUGUAAAGCCCUUUCGUGCGGAACGAACAGUCUCGCGACUAAUACCCGCGGGAUUUGACGGUACCGCAGGAAGAAGCACCGGCUAACUCCGUGCCAGCAGCCGCGGUAAUACGGAGGGUGCAAGCGUUGUUCGGAAUUACUGGGCGUAAAGGGCGCGCAGGCGGUUGUGCAAGUCAGUUGUGAAAUCCCCCGGCUUAACCGGGAAACUGCAUCUGAAACUGCAUGAGUAGAGUACAGAAGAGGGAAGCGGAAUUCCCGGUGUAGAGGUGAGAUUCGUAGAUAUCGGGAGGAACACCAGUGGCGAAGGCGGUUGCCUGGUCUGAUACUGACGCUGAGGCGCGAAAGCUUGGGGAGCAAACAG